rnacentral:rRNA from 1 species
GUACGGGAGGCAGCAGUAGGGAAUUUUCGGCAAUGGGCGCAAGCCUGACCGAGCAACGCCGCGUGAGGGAUGAAGGUUUUCGGAUCGUAAACCUCUGUCUUCAGGGACGAUAAUGACGGUACCUGAGGAGGAAGCCACGGCUAACUACGUGCCAGCAGCCGCGGUAAUACGUAGGUGGCGAGCGUUGUCCGGAAUUACUGGGCGUAAAGGGCGUGUAGGCGGCCUUUUAAGUCAGACGUGAAAUAUUUGGGCUUAACCUAAAUACUGCGUUUGAAACUGGAGGGCUUGAGGACCGGAGAGGGUAGUGGAAUUCCCAGUGUAGCGGUGAAAUGCGUAGAUAUUGGGAGGAACACCAGUGGCGAAGGCGACUGCCUGGACGGCACCUGACGCUGAGGCGCGAAAGCUAGGGGAGCAAACGGGAUUAGAUACCCUGGU